rnacentral:lncRNA from 1 species
GAUUCCGAAGGCAUGAGAAAAACGACUUGAAGGAUCCCAGUGGGGUUUAAAUGCCAUCCCACGGAAGGGUUUUCAUGGUAACCGUCCAAGGAUUUGUUUAUUUUUAAGCUGUUCAGAGGCCCCGAGGGAGGACCUUGUCAGCCAGGACAUCUUGUUCUCCUGGCCACGGCAAUGACCUUGGUGGUAGGUCAUGGAGAUGAGAAGGGUUGCGGAGACUGUUUGGUCCCAGGGCAGCGCUUAUGGGUUUCAUUUACUCAUGCCUAUUCUCUAUUGCUGCGCAUACUAUCUGCUGUUCAGCUAAUAUAAAAUGCAAUCAAUGGAGGGAGACUGCGGCAUUUUUCCUUUCUUUCUUUUUUUUCCUCUGAAUUUUAUUUUAUUUUUUUCCAACAUGGAGUCAUAACCGCGCCUGAGAUGCUGGACUACAAUCCCCAGCAUGCAUCGGGGCUGGACACUCUUCUUCCCAACCCCCACCUUUGGGGAAUGUAUAGUUUGGGUACCGUGAGCAAGGAAAGGAAAGGUGGCACUCGCGGCCAGGAAGCUUAGUCCUUCGGGGUCUGGGAUAGUGGUGGCAGCGGCGGGUCUGGAGGUGGCGCACUAAUCACACCUUUCGAGCAGAGAGACGGGAGAAAGAUGAGGCAGGGAGGAUCGGAGCCCGAUGCACACUGGGAGUUGUAGGCUUCGACGAGGCCGUGGGGCAUGCUGGGCACUGGAGUCCAUCCCGCUCAACUCCCGCCCCCGCCCCAAUCAGAAACCGAGAGGAGGAACGUGUUGGCGACGGCGCGCCAGGUCCUCCCCCGCCCCCGCCCCCGCCUCCUCCCCUCCCCCGUGUGUCCCCUCCCCCAACUCGUCGGGCUCCGCUGGUGCUGCUGCUGCCUCUGCCUCUGCCGCUGCCGCUGGUGCUGCCGCUGCGGACGGUCUGGUGUGUGAGAGCCGGCGCCCGAGCCCGAGCCCGAGCCCCGCGCCCAGGCCCCGCAGCGCGCAGCCGCCACGGACACCGGCCGAGGGACCGGGCACGUCGCCGCCGCCGGGGGAGACCAGGGCAUUGCCGCCGCAGCAGCCGCUGCCGCCGCCUUCUCCCGCUGCUACCCUCUGCCCAGUCUGGAUUUUGAAGCUCAGUGGCAGGUUCCUCCUGACUGAGAAGCAGUGA